rnacentral:lncRNA from 1 species
GUUCGCUGGAACACGACCUUCCAAAAUUGUUCCCCCUCCGGACAGUCUUCUGUGCCCAACCAGCUCAAAUCCUGACACUUUUGGUUUUUCUCCGGUACCGGGAACCGAACUCAGGACCUUGCGCUUGCCAGGCAGGCGCUUUGCCGCUGAGCUAAAUCCCCAGCCCCUAAAUCCUGACACUUUUGGAUUCAACUUUUCCAUGAAGGCGGGCACAGACUUCUGGGAAGGGGCGGAGCUUAUAAACACGGGAAGACUGAAUUCCCUUUUACCUCACACUGAGGUAUCUUCUCCGCGCUCCUGCUGCAUGAUCCUGCUUGCCUCUCACUGAAUGUAAGUUCCGUGAAUGGAGACUGUGGUACUCACAUCUGCAUAUCUACCAGAAAUUGGUACUCAGCACUUAUUUCCUGAAUAA